rnacentral:misc_RNA from 1 species
CCAAUAGCGUAUAUUAAAGUUGUUGCAGUUAAAAAGCUCGUAGUUGAACUUCGGGGUCUACCCAUUGGUCAGGCUUAAUUGUCUGCACUGGUGAGAUGGAUCUCUACCUUCUGAGGAACUUUCAUGCCAUUUAUUUGGUGUGGUUGGAAAUCAGGACUGUUACUUUGAAAAAAUUAGAGUGUUUAAAGCAGACUAUCGUCUGAAUACAUUAGCAUGGAAUAAUGAAAUAGGACGGAAUGAUUCUAUUUCGUUGGUUUCUAGGAUCACCGUAAUGAUUAAUAGGGAUAGUUGGUGGCAUUAGUAUUCACUUGUCAGAGGUGAAAUUCUUGGAUUUAUUGAAGACUAACUACUGCGAAAGCAUUUGCCAAGGAUGUUUUCAUUAAUCAAGAACGAAAGUUAGGGGAUCGAAGACGAUCAGAUACCGUCGUAGUCUUAACCAUAAACUAUGCCGACUAGGGAUCGGACGAAGUUAAUUUUAUAAUGACGCGUUCGGCACCUUACG